UAUACCAAUAAACAGGGGAAGAAACUUUGUCUUACUUCUCAAGCCAUGCUUUAGUGUACCUGCUGCUUAACUGAGCUCCCUGCUUCCCACUGGUGCCCACUCGCAAUUCAUUCUCCACUCCACAGCCGGGGUGACCUUUUAAAAAUGCAAAUCAGACCACAUUGCUCCCUAUAAAACCCUUUAGUGGCUUCCUAGUGCAGUUAGAAUAAAACCCAAAGUCCUGCCAUGCCUUCCAGAGUCCUGCUUGCCUGCUUGUCUGGCCCCAUCUCCCAGUCCCCUCUCCUCACUCACGAUUCCAGCCACAUUGGUCUCUUCCGCUCUCUGAGAUGGGCUGAGCUUUGCUGGCCUCAGUGCUGCUUCCGUCUGGCAUGCUCUCCGCUUGCGUCUUCGAGUGGCUGCCAUCUUUUUGUUCUAAUCUCAUCCCCAGUAUCAGCUCCUCAGGAAGACUUUGCUGACGCUCCAUUCUAAAUUUGUGUACUUACUGUCACAUUGUCUUAAUUAUGUUUUUAUUUUCUGUAUUUUAUGAUGCUUGGAUAUCUUGGGGCCUUGGCUCAUCCUGAAAGAGACUGCCCCAUCCAGGGGUAGUGAAUGCAUAGGGGUGGGAAAUCACUUGCCUUCAAACACGUCUUUCCCGUGCAAACCAACCAAGCCCAUGCACCAACCACCUCCUUUAUCUAACUCUCACCAAGCCAAUAUUCCCUCUGUCCUAAAUCACCCCAGGCCAGGUAUUGGACAACUCAGGGCUAUUCCUAUAGUCCAUAGCCUACUGAAACUAUCCAAAGUAUUCAAUCCUAAACUUGUGUGACCUGUCUAGCCUGCCUCCCUCAUACUUUCCUGUGAAAUCCAGAAUACAGGCUCUCACCCAUGCUUUCCCUCGUCGCCUCUGCCUCCUGAACAGCCCUGCUGCUUCCCCGGGUGGCCCUGCAUGGUGUGCCAUGCCCCCUCCUGUGGGAACUGUGCGUGAUAAACUCCCCUUUCAAGGCAGUUGUCUCUGUGCCUGUCAUCUUACCACACCCGAUUAAAACAAAUUCCUGGGAGCACUGAAACACACACUCCAAGUUCCAGCCUCCGUGACUCCACCCUGGUUUGUUCUUUGGUACUCUUGUCAGCAUCUUAAAGUAUCCUGCACAUCUUUUAUUUACUUUUUAUUUGUAAACACAAGCUGCUCUUCCUCACAAGGGUGCAAGAACAAUGGGAGGAGGGGAUCUUUGUCCUGUUCACCUCACCAUGACAUCCCCCGUGCCCAGACAGGAGCCUGGCAGAGUGGACGACCAGUCAAGAUUCCUUAACUGAAUGAUGUUUGUAGACACUGGGAGAAGAGCAAUGAGAAAAUCAAAUGAAAGAAUGUUUGCAAAAUCAUUUUAAAAGUGCUAAAAUACUAUACAAUGAAAAUGAUGUAUUUCUCCAGUCCCUAAAAUUAAACAUUUCAUAUAAUACCACAGGCAGGCUUUGGAAAGGCUUUAUGGAAGUACUUUUACAACUUUGCUGCACAUAAGCCCAGGAUAUCUAUAGUUUCCUUGGAAAAGUCGUUAUUAGGUAAAAUUACACCAAGGUGUACAUGUGACUUUGGUGCUGAGAAUGUGUUUUCCCUCUUCCUGAGCAAUGGGAUUAUAUCUCCCAGUAUCCCUUGUAGCUAGGUCUGGUCAUGUGAUGGAGCUCUAGCCAAUAGGCUGCUAGUGGAGUUGGCAGGUGCCACUUCCAGGCCUGGCCCAUCCAAGCGCCCCAUGGGCAAUCCUUCCUGUUCUCUUACCUUCCCAGGUGAAUUUUGAAACCACUGGAGGAAAGUGAAGUGACAUAGAAUGGAAAGAAUCUUGAUUCCUAAAUUAUUAAGAAGUGUCACUCAAUGAUCAGCAACAUUUAUUUUGGACUUCACCUGGGCCACAGACCAUGGCCAGAGGGCGGAGAUCUGAUUUCCUCCAAAAUUAAGCCUUGCUGCCCCAGGCCUGGCUAUCGGCAAAAGGUGCUGCAUCCUAGGACUGUGGGUGAUCACCUGCCAUGUGGCUGGAGCUGCCCAUUAGGAACCAGGCACCGUCGGACCCCCCAAGUCCUGAGGUUGCGCGGGCGCCGCCACGGUAAGGCAGCUUUCUUCUUUCCAAGCAGGAGGGGACACACCUCUUUAUUUUCCCUCACCACCUGCAGUAAAGCAACCUCCGUGCCUGGUGAUGGGUCCCCGUGGGACGGUUCUGAUGAACUUCAAAGGCCGGCCUCACUGAUGAUGUUUCCCCAUCUCACCUGCGGAAGGACAUGCAGCUGUAGUGGCUAACAGCUGUCCUUGGUGGGAACCAUACUGUUUUCUCCUUUCUUUCAUCAGUAUAUUUUACACAUAUGGCAGAAUAGUGUUUUGCAAUAUUAGUUUAUGCCUCGCUCCUUUUUCAAUCCUACUGUUUCCCCAUCCAUCCCCCAUGAGCAGGUUGCAGGCCGAAUAUUUCUCUUCAAGAAAGCGAGAGUUCAAGAUUAGAGUAUCAAUAUUAUCCCACACCCAUCCUCUUUGCCCAGAGCUUUGGAGAAUUCAGGGGAAAUUAGGAGGAUCUUGAAGAAAUGAAAGGGGUGAGAGGAAGGCAGGGGGAAGGGAAUGCUCAGUGCUGAGAGCAGAGCUGACCUCUGGCUCCUGUUUCCCAGAAUUUCUGCUAGAGCAGCAGCCAAGAACCGAGACAGGACUGGUCGAAGGUGCGUCAGGAAGGUGGGGCUGAGACCACACUCCUGGAGAUGCCCAGGACCCACUGACGGCAGGGAGGCAGGACCACGGGGCCCUGUGGACACCUCAGGAGCAGUCUGUGAGGACCGGAGGCUGAGGACUGACCACUCUUCCACAACUGUCCUGGGACUUUGGAGAUGACAAGAACAGUGAGGUGCCGUGACUUUCCUAAGGAAAUAGCCAGGACGAGGAGAGCUGCGAAUUCCUGAUAGGUUCCACCCACACUCUGACCCUUGCUCAGCCCGGCUGCGAACCGAACUCCGUGGCCAGCACCAAGUUCCAUCAGGAGAACAAUUAACUGCAAGGGAAAUUGAUCUUUUGGAGGAUACUAUUGGAAAAAUACUUUUAAUGUUUUCUCGUGCCUGGAUUUACUUUGAGAAAAUAUCACAUUCAGAACAGACAACUCCCGAUGAAAAGAGAAAAGUUCUUGUAUUUUAUGACUAUGAUUGCUGAAAGGAGCAAUUCAAGCAAGGGGUGAAAAAAUGUGAUGAAAAUCUUCCGGAGCACAGAGCAGAAAAGGCCGGGAGCUGGAGGGAAGGACAGCAAGGUCAGGACACUCACCUCUAAUACUGUGGGUACUGCAGAGGCAAGUCUUCCCUGACACCAGGUGUGUGGAAGCAGAAAGAGUCCACUCACUCACUGAAUCUUGCAAGAAAUAACUGGCCAGGCAGAAGAGGGCCUGUUCUCUGAGACCAGAGAAAUGACAAGGCAAAGACAGAGGUCAAGGUGGCUGGGUGUCUGGUUCCCCGACCACGAGUCAGGACGCUGGCGUGUGAGGCCUUUUCCCUACCGUGCCCUGGCUGUGGCAGAAUGGCUCUGGGGCAAACAGGGCAGCUCUGGUAGCUCAAGCAUUUGGCGGUCUGGGUGAAGACGCAGUCUUCUGAGUCUCGGGGUUGGUAGACUUGGCUUGACCCGGGAGCUGCGGGACCAGGACGUCUGUGCAUGGAAUGGAUGAGAUACCCGGAGAGCCACUGGGAGUCCUCGGCAGGCUGCCCCCAGGGACUCUGACACUGCUGAGAUCUCACGUGGUCUGGUAGAGCCGUGGACUGUCUAUAAAUGCUCACGUGUCGUCGGUGGGUCUACAGGCGUGUUAGGCCUGGGGAUACGCGUGUUCCUGCCCUCACACUGUCACUGUCUCCCUCCUGGACCAUUGCUGACUGUCACUGCCUGGUCCCCCUGCCUCCAGGCUCAUCCAAGCACCGGAGCGGGAAUGUCCUUCUAAAAUGCAAAUCUGAAAGGGAUGGCGUGUAGAAAAUGCUUUGUUCUUAGUUAUUCACAGGAAAAUUCCUUUGAUGGAAAAGGCUGAGCCCAGUAGAGAAUGUAUCUUGAUAAAUCCACCAUGUGGAAGAAGUAAGUAAAGUGUCUGUGUGUGUGAGAGAGAGAGAGAAAGAGAGAGAGGGGGCGAGGAGGAAGGAGGGGCAAAGUCGACACGCUAUGGGGGGACCGGGACCACCACCCUUCAGCCUUCACAGUAAAAGACAUGCUUCUUUUCUCCCAGACAUCCUCAAUGUUUGUUGAAAAAUGAUAAAGAUUGAUAUUUUUGA